UGGUAUCAAUUGCAGUCAAUUUGAUCGUAUUCCGGUCAAUAUAUAUUUCAAACAUAUUAUAUCGAUCGUUUCUUUAGUACAUCGUGUUUCCAACGUUUUCAAUCAUCGCGCACAAAAAUCAUCCACUCGAUCACAGACGAAAAUCGUCCACUCAAUCACAGAAAAGAGUUGUUCGUAUCAAGGGAUUAUAAUGAGAUGUUUUGGCAUCAUAGCAGAAUCGUCGACUAGGGUUUAUGGGUUUUCUAAGAAUCUGCCGGUAUCAUCAUCUUUUUUCUUUGUUCUCAAACAUAUGUUGUAUUUUACCAUCGUGUUUACAAUUUUUUUUUUAACGUGAUUUGUAAAAUUGUCGGAUUUAUGGUUUUGGAAGUAUAUUUUUCAUUAUAUUAUGAUAUAAUAUUCGAUUGGAUAUGGAUGGUUCUAGGAACAAAUUGUCAAUUUGACUUUUGAGUUUCAUGAGAUUUUAGAUGAAGUGGGAAGGAUAAGAAGAAACCUAUUUUGGCAUGUGUUGUAAUGUAUCUGUAAGCUUUUGGUUAUACGUUCGCUGCAUCUUUUUUCUCUUUAAUCUUCAUGAAAAUGCUAUGUGUACUUAGUGAUAUACUGAUUCGGUUUAAGGCCUGAAGAAUGAUUUAGUUAAAGGAUUUAUCCUGCUGAAGAAUUAGUCUAAUAAAUAUGGCUUGCAAAUUCUAUCCACCAAGUGCUCGAUAUAAUGCCAAGGUGAGUUCCAAUUUAAUGUUUUGACUUUUUAUUGAAUAUGAUGAAGAUCAUUGGUCAAAGAAUUCAACUUUAGGUUUGUAGGACACUCUGACCAUAUCUAAUGUAGUGAAAUUUGGUUGAGGAACUGAAUCUCCAAACUUCUUCUUUUGUUGAGGAAGUGAUUUGUUUCGUUAGCAGGUAUCUUACCAAGUGAGUGACAUUUCUAGGAACUUUAAUAUUCAAGAACGGUUUAGAAAAGAUUGGUUCAUAAAAUGAUUGAAACAAGAGCUUAAGCUUUUAAAUACCUUCUCUGUUUCUUUAAAUUUUUAGAUAGAAACGAAUUUUCAAUUUGUUUUUGUCCAGGUCUAACCAAUAUUUUUAUGUGUGAUUUCGGUACCCAUGAUCUUCUUUCUGACAAGUUAAUUGCAUUCGUUUCUUUAUUUUGAAAACUAGAUGUGCCAUUUCAAUUUUAAAAUUCUUAAAUCCAAAAUCAGAUGUAAACCUUUGAUUCUCUGGGUUGGUGAUGGAGUCGGCCUUGAAUAGGGUCGACAAUGUCUAAAGAAGUGGGGGUUUCGUAAAUGUGAAGAUAUACACCUGGAUUGCACCAUUAUUCACAUACUUUGUUUCAACACUCAAAGGUUGAAUUUCAUUAGACUAUCUUAAUUAUUUUGGAAUAUGUUCAUGGCAUUUCCUUAGUUUUAUGUUCAAUUGUUUUUAGAUACGAUAUGAUAUGAGUUCGUGUGUCUACAAUUGAUUGUAGAUCUUAUAUGUUUUGUUUGAAUGUAGAUAUGAUAUGAUUUCUUUC